rnacentral:rRNA from 1 species
UACAGUGGUGCCAAGCGUUAGGCGGAAUCACUGGGCUUAAAGCGCGUGUAGGCGGGUCGUUAAGUGUCUUGUGAAAUCCCACGGCUCAACCGUGGAACUGCUGGGCAUACUGACGAUCUUGAGGCACUCAGGGGCUGUCGGAACAAAUGGUGGAGCGGUGAAAUGCGUAGAUAUCAUUUGGAACGCCAACGGUGAAAACAGACAGCUGGGGGUGUCCUGACGCUGAGACGCGAAAGCCAGGGGAGCGAACGGG